AAGUAGAAAGUUAAUAUAUAUUGGAUGCCUUGCUGAAGCUCUUGAACGUAAGGAAAUAAAGAAAGACUCAAUUGUUGCAUUAGAAAAGUCCUUGAAGUAGAGUUAAUAUAUUGGAUGCCUUGCUGAAGCUAUUGAACGUAAGGAAAUAAAGUAAGACCCAACUGUACCAUUACAAAAGUCCUUGAAGUAGAGUUAAUAUAUUGGAUGCCUUGCUGAAGCUCUUGAACGUAAGGAAAUAAAGAAAGACUCAAUUGUACCAUUAGAAAAGUCUUUGAAGUAGAGUUAAUAUAUUGGAUGCCUUGCUGAAGCUCUUGAACGUAAGGAAAUAAAGAAAGACUCAAUUGUACCGUUAGAAAAGUCCUUGAAGUAGAGUUAAUAUAUUGGAUGCCUUGCUGAAGCUCUUGAACGUAAGGAAGUAAAGAAAGACUCAAUUGUACCGUUAGAAAAGUCCUUGAAGUAGAGUUAAUAUAUUGGAUGCCUUGCUGAAGCUCUUGAACGUAAGGAAAUAAAGAAAGACUCAAUUGUACCAUUAGAAAAGUCCUUGAAGUAGAGUUAAUAUAUUGGAUGCCUUGCUGAAGCUAUUGAACGUAAGGAAGUUAAGAAAGACUCAAUUGUAGCGUUAGAAAAGUCCUUGAAGUAGAGUUAAUAUAUUGGAUGCCUUGCUGAAGCUCUUGAACGUAAGGAAAUAAAGAAAGACUCAAUUGUACCGUUAGAAAAGUCCUUGAAGUGAGUUAAUAUAUUGGAUGCCUUGCUGAAGCUCUUGAACGUAAGGAAAUAAAGAAAGACUCAAUUGUACCAUUAGAAAAGUCUUUGAAGUAGAGUUAAUAUAUUGGAUGCCUUGCUGAAGCUCUUGAACGUAAUGAAGUUAAGAAAGACUCAAUUGUACCAUUAGAAAAGUCUUUGAAGUAGAGUUAAUAUAUUGGAUGCCUUGCUGAAGCUCUUGAACGUAAGGAAAUAAAGAAAGAUUCAAUUGUAGCGUUAGAAAAGUCCUUGAAGUAGAGUUAAUAUAUUGGAUGCCUUGCUGAAGCUCUUGAACGUAAGGAAAUAAAGAAAGACUCAAUUGUACCGUUAGAAAAGUCCUUGAAGUAGAGUUAAUAUAUUGGAUGCCUUGCUGAAGCUCUUGAACGUAAGGAAGUUAAGAAAGACUCAAUUGUACCGUUAAAAAAGUCCUUGAAGUAGAGAGUUAUGUAUUGGAUGCCUUGCUGAAGCUCUUGAACGUAAGGAAAUAAAGAAAGACUCAAUUGUAGCGUUAAAAAAGGCCUUGAAGUAGAGAGUUAAUAUAUUGUGUCUUGCUGAAGCUAUUGAACGUAAGGAAGUUAAGGAAGUUAGACAGGAGAUUGACGAAGCAUAUUGGGUGAUAAGUUAGAGAGAGAUCAUUUUUGAGUGUCUUGAGCUGUUGAACUGAAGGAAAUAGAUCGCAAAGUCUUGAAACUGAGAGAAAUAAAAAGAUGAUUUAUUAGGUGUGUAUUUGAGCUGAAGCGAUUAGUACGAUCAGACCAUAAGGUGUUUAAUGUAACGUUGCAAGUCAUGUCGGAAAUGGAUCAGAAAAAGCAUUACAAGAUAAGUUAGAAAGAGAUAAUUUUUGAGUAUCUUGAGCUGUUGAACUGAAGGAAAUAGAUCGCAAAGUCUUGAAACGGAGAGAAAUAAAAAGCUGAUUUGUUAGGUGUGUGUUUGAGUUGAGCUUUUGAACUGAAGGAAAUAGAUCGGAACGUCUUGAAACGGAAGGAAAUAGGAAGAUGAUUUAUUAGCUGUGUGUUUGAGCUGAAGCGAUUAGUACGAUUAGAUCAUUAGGCGUUUAAUGUAAGGUUGCAAGUCAUGUCGGAAAUGGAUCAGAAAAAGCAGUAUAAGAUUAGGCAUAGAACAAAUGGUUAGGUUUCUAGUGAUUGGAAAAACUGAUAGGCAAGUGAUUAGGAGGAUUAGACCAGAAGGUGCUUGGCGUAAGAUUGCAAAUUACGUCGAAGAUUGCCGAGAAAACGCAUUACGAGACUAGGUAUAGAAAGACGAUUAGGCUUAGCGAUUGGAAGCUGAUAGCGAUUAGAAUGAUUAGAGGCUGUUGGGUGACUGGAGGCUACGAUUAGUGGUCGGUGCAAAGGUAACUGGUGAUUGGAAGCUAACAAGUGGUGGGAGGCGAUUGGUGACUGGACCUUACCACACGUCCACUCGGAGGCUGAUUGGCGAUUGGAGGUUCUGUGUUUAGUGUUCUUUGCUCCUAGAGGGCGUGAAGCCUUCGCCUGAUUGGGGAUUUGCUUCGGGGCUCUGGAUUGGCCGAGACCCCGGAUUGGAAGCUCGGAAUUGGUCUGAUUGGCCCUUCCUGCCGGGACUGUGAUUGGGUGAUUAGCGGUUGACGAUUCUCAUGUUCGGUUGUCGGUAUAAAUAUUUGAUUCUCUUGAUAUCCUGAAUAGUUGAUGCUGGUCUUUAUUUCUUUAUUUCUUGUUGUUUAUUUUUCCUGUUUUUCCGGUUGACGAUUCUCAUGUUCGGUUGUCGGUAUAAAUAUUUGAUUCUCUUGAUAUCCUGAAUAGUUGAUGCUGGUCUUUAUUUCCUUAUUUCUUGUUGUUUAUUUUUCUUGUUUUUCCGGUUGACGAUUCUCAUAUUCGGUUGUGGGUUUAGAUAUUUGACACUCAUUAUAUCCUGUGAAUGGUUGAUACUCGUCUUCAUUUCUGUAUUUCUUUUAUUGUUUAUUUUUCUUGUUUUUCCGGUUGACGAUUCUCAUAUUCGGUUGUGGGUAUAAAUAUUUGAUUCUCC